rnacentral:misc_RNA from 1 species
AGAGAGAGAGAGAGAGAGAAAUACCUGGUUAGGCAUUGGGUCUUGUCCAAAUUGCUGCUGGCGUGAAAUAAAGACAACAGGGCCUAGGUUUUUUCCCCCCCUUUUUUUUGCUAUUUUAAAAGAAAAAAUAGAAAAGGGAAAAGUUAAUGUUAUUUUACAGAGGCAAUGCCUUUCUUGCCCCUUGCCUCUUGCCUUGAAGUCCCUGUCUCUUGCGUCUUGCUAUGCCAACUCGCCUCAGCCAGGAGAGGCAAGGGCUCACCUCUCCUGGCGCUUCAACUCUCCUUUAGCAACACUAGGUUUACUCCUAUAUUUGAUUUUGGGAUUAAUUUUUAGUUAAGUUGUGUAGUUCUACAUCCAAAAUGUGUAACCUGUAACACUUGUAGUAUAAAUGGUUGCAAACUUGCAAUAUAACAUGAUAAAAUUGAAGAUGCUGACUAGUGGACCCUACUUUGCUCCUUUCUGUUGCAGAAUAUAUGUUUGACUGCUGCUAAUUUUGUGAUUACUUCCUCUGUUUCUUUCCCCAAUUAUACAAACUGAUAUUUAUUUAAUUUUUUGCAAACUAAAUUUUCUUGAUUGCAGGGCCAAAACCUUCUGAGUUGUAUGGAAAAUACACAUGGAAAAUAGAAAAAUUUUCACAGAUUAACAAAAGAGAACUUCGUAGUGAUGAAUUUGAGGUUGGCGGCUACAAAUGGUACAUAUUAAUAUAUCCCCAAGGUUGUGAUGUUUGCAAUCAUCUCUCUUUGUUUCUUUGUGUUGCCAACCAUGACAAACUUCUUCCAGGUUGGAGUCAUUUUGCACAGUUUACAAUAGCUGUGGUUAAUAAAGAUCCAAAAAAAUCAAAAUAUUCAGAUACAUUACACCGGUUCUGGAAGAAAGAGCAUGAUUGGGGAUGGAAAAAAUUCAUGGAAUUAUCGAAAGUGUCAGAUGGGUUUUUAGAUGCUACUGACACUCUAAUUAUAAAGGCUCAAGUGCAAGUCAUCAGGGAGAAAUCAGAUCGGCCUUUUCGUUGCCUUGAUUGUGAGUAUAGAAGAGAACUUGUUAGGGUGUAUUUGACAAAUGUAGAGCAGAUUUGUCGACGUUUUGUGGAAGAGAGACGAGGCAAGCUUGGGAGGUUAAUAGAAGACAAAAAUAGAUGGUCAAGCUUUUGUGCUUUCUGGUUGGGAAUGGAUCAAAAUGCUCGGCGACGGAUGUCUAGGGAGAGAACUGAUGUGAUUCUGAAAGUAGUUGUGAAGCAUUUCUUUAUAGAGAAGGAAGUCACAUCAACUUUGGUAAUGGAUUCCUUGUAUAGUGGAUUGAAGGCUCUUGAAGGCCAAACUAAGAACAAGAAAGGGAGGGCGAAAUUGAUGGACACUGAAGAAAUGCUAGCUCCAAUUGUUCGUGUGGAGAAAGAAAUGUUCGUAUUGGUGGAUGAUGUCCUGCUACUACUUGAGAGAGCUGCCAUGGAACCACUGCCUCCAAAAGAUGAAAAGGGCCCACAGAAUCGUACAAAGGAUGGAAAUUCUGGUGAGGACUUCAACAAGGAUUCCAUUGAGCGUGAUGAAAGACGGCUUACAGAAUUGGGUCGCAGGACAGUGGAAACAUUUGUCCUUGCUCAUAUUUUCAAGUAAUAUAUCUGAUAUUCUGACUAUUUUCAAAAUCUCUCAUAUUAUUACAUGCUAGUGGAGCAGUUGCUUAUGUGGCUCAAGACCAUUUAUCGUGCCAUGUUUCAGAUGCCCACUCUCAUUUAAUUAUUCAUUUUGGAAGUUUUCUGCGGUUUCUGAAAGUUCUUCCUUUUCAACAAGGCUAACCUUCAGGCUAAUAUUAUCAUAUUUUGUAAUUGUUAUAUUUUACUUGCAUUAUCAUUACAUUGAUACUGAAUAACUAGUACUUGCUAAUUAUGAAGAGUUUGAAUGGCAUUGAAAAAAUGUGAGUGAAAUGGUUUAUCAGUUAUUUAGAACCUUUGUUAAAUGUGUGGCAUUCUAUUUUCUGUGGAGCCUUUGUUAAAUGCUUUAUUUCUAAAGAGGUGGUUUGGUACUUUUUGUAGUGGAAUUUCAGUCAUUAAGAAUGAACUAUCAUGAUUAGUGUAAUGGUGGCUUUAAGUUUUGAAAGAAUUUCAUGUCGGUAGUGGUGAUUUUUUGCUUUGAAUAUGGAGUGAUGGACUCAUCUUGAGGAUAGGUAUUCGGUAAAUUCCUAUAUUGCUAAUGGAUUCUUUUUGGAGAUGUGUAUCUUACAAUAGAGAGGGUAAUAUUCUCUCUUCACGUGGCAAAUAGGAGACAACUAGUUGUGUCAAUUUAACUUCUUAAGUUAGUAUGUUCUUUGACAAUUGGUUCUGUUGUGAAAGUUUGAUGGUAUAUUUAUUGUAGAACUUCAUUAAUAUCUGAUUUCCAUCUUUUUGCUUUUUUUCUUUAGUUAUACUUUCCUAAUGAGUUAUAUGUGCAGGAUGUAGUUAGUUGAUAGUUGUGAUACAUCAUACAUCAAUGAUAUUUAUAAUUUUAUUACAUGAACGAGCUAUUAUUAUAGGAUUAUGGUGUCACAAUAUUUUAUGUGCUUUGUGGUUAGAUGAUUAUAGACUAAUCGCUCAGCUUUAUGCGUGCAUGUCCUAAGUUUGUCCCCUUUACAUGUAGCCACAAAGUUGAAGUUGCUUACCAGGAAGCUGUUGCUUUGAAGAGGCAGGAAGAGCUAAUCCGUGAAGAAGAGGCAGCAUGGCUAGCUGAAAGUGAGCAGAAAUCUAAACGUGGAGGAACUGAGAAGGAAAAGAAAUCAAAGAAAAAGCAGGCAAAACAAAAACGGAAUAAUCGUAAAGGGAAGGACAAAGGGAGGGAUGAAAAAUCCAGUGCAGCAGUAUUAGACAAGCAUCAAGAGGAAAAUCUAAGUAGUGAGAAAAAGGAUUCAAUUAUCGUAGUAGAGGUGCAGCCUGUGGUGGAAAAGCCUGAUAUUCUGGAAGAUGUGUCUGAUGUGUCUGACUCAGUGGAUGGUGUUGCUGAAGUGCUCCAGCCCGAUUCAGAAGACAGAGAUGCAAGUCCUGUUAAUUGGGAUACUGAUACUUCAGAAGUUCAUCCUUCUACAGAAGCCUGCAGCAGUGGAGUUAGUGGAUUAUCAUCUAUACCAAAUGGAACAGCUGAGAAAAGGAGCACAAAUGCAAUGGAUGACAGUUCAUCAACUUGCUCUACAGAUUCAGUCCCAUCAGUUGUUAAUAAUGGCUCUUAUAAGGGGAGCUCUUAUUCAAGCUACCAAUUUGUAAAAUCACCUAGCAGAGAGAAGCACCCUCGAGGUAAGGGGACAAGCGAUUUGAGUUGGACAACUGAGAUGGAUAAUCACCUUUCUGCACCUCCAGUGGAUGCUGGGGAUCUCAAUGAGGUUACUGGAAUUAGCAAAUCUGUUGAAUGCGAGCCCGAAGCUAUUGUUCAUGUCUCACAAGAUAGAAUAACAUGGACCGAGCAGCCUGUAGUUAAGAAGGUUGUGGAAGAAGUUUUACCGCAAAAGAAACUCGGCACUAAAGACUUGGUUGAUGUGGAAAGGUCCUCCAAAGAAACAGCAAUGACUAUCCCAUCCUCUUGUAGAAGCCCUCCAAGAAGUCCUCCCAAAAAUCUCCAAUCCACCGUUCUAUUGAAGUCGGGAAACAAGAGUUCAGCUGCCAUAGAUCCUUCUGUUCAGAGUAAGAAAGCAUCUUCAAAUUGUGCUCAGCACGCUGAUAAAGCAUCCCCUUCAAUUAUAUGCCCGCAAAGUAUAUGCAUGUCCAAACCUGAGACCCAGAAGGCCUCAACUUCAAAACUAUCUGAGAAGCCAAUGCUACAGCAUGUGCCUGUGAUGUCAAGGCCCUCUAGUGCUCCUCUAAUUCCUGGUCCUCGGCCAGCUGCUCCUGUGGUUUCCAUGGUUCAAAAACCCCCAUUACUUGCACGUUCUGUUAGUGCAACUGGUCGGCUUGGUCCUGAUACUUCACCUGCAAGUCCUAGUUAUGCUCCUUUGUCCUAUCGAAAUGCCAUUGUAGGCAAUCCUGUUGGCUCAAGUUCAGGUGGCUUCACUCAUGCCAACUCUCCCAGUUUGGGAGUUAACCUGCCUUCAGCACACACACAACAGCCUGCUUUGGUAUCUACAUCGAUGUUUUUGCACCCGAGCUCUGAUAGGGUAGAUCUGACCUCUGUUCAAUCUCAUUUUCCUUUUGGGAUGGUAACUCCGGAUGUCUUACGGAAUGGACCCCAGCAGAUGGAGAGCUCACAAGGUGUAGUAACAGAUGAGUUCCCACAUAUUGAUAUCAUCAACGAGCUGCUUGAUGAUGAACAUGGUGUUGGGAAGGCAGCUGAGGCAAGCAGCUUCUUCCAGUCUCUUAACAAUGGGCCACACUUCUUAAAUCGGCAAUGUUCUUUUCCGGGUGAUAUGGGAAUAUCAGGUGAAUCAGUUUCCCCGAGCAGCAGUUCUUGCAGAUUUGAGCGUGCUAGGAGUUAUCGUGAUAGUGGGUUUCAGCGGAGUUAUGGCUCUUUUGGCACCCAUUUUGACAUGCCGAGGGAAUUUAUUGCCCGGACAAGUCCAUUACCAUAUGCAAAUGGGCAUGUUGAUGGAUUGAUUCCAAGCCAAUGGCAGGUGGCUGGCUCUGAUCUUUCUCUAGUAGGCAUGAGGAACGCAGAGGGUGAUGGUUCUCCAUAUUUCAGUCCAGAGUAUCCAAAUUUGGCUUGCGGUAGCAAUGGGUACACUGUAUUUAGGCCUUCAAAUGGGCAUUGAAGGAGCUUCCAGUCGAAAUUACCCUGCAAAUUUGUAGGUCAUUGUCCAUUGUAAUAAUGUAUUUGGGGAAAUUGUUGGGUCGUAGAAUUGGAGUGGGGUUGUAAUCUUUUUCAUAAGCUUAACAUUUUGUAGAGUGUUGCUGCCUUUCAUUGCCUACAGCAUUUUAGUUUGAAUUGAUGAGGCUUUCAUGUAUUUUUCUCAUCUGGGGCUUGGUUAGAUGUUUUGAAAUGGCUGAAUGAUGAAAUUCAACCCAAGUCGGGUACUGAAAAGUACGGCUGCUCGACCAUCCAUUGAGAAGCCAAUAGCAUAGGGUUGAGGCUCAUGUAAAGAUGAAAUAGUUCAUCAAAGCUUGGUUUCUUUUGUAUCUGCUGGUAUGUGUUAAAAUUUAUCAUUUCUUCCAGCAGGCAGACGUCUUGAGUUUUUCUACGUGGCAG